ACGGGUGAGUAACACGUGGGUAACCUGCCCAUCAGAGGGGGAUAACACUUGGAAACAGGUGCUAAUACCGCAUAAUUCAGUUUACCGCAUGGUAGAAUGAUGAAAGGCGCUUUUGCGUCACUGAUGGAUGGACCCGCGGUGCAUUAGCUAGUUGGUAGGGUAAUGGCCUACCAAGGCAACGAUGCAUAGCCGACCUGAGAGGGUGAUCGGCCACACUGGGACUGAGACACGGCCCAGACUCCUACGGGAGGCAGCAGUAGGGAAUCUUCGGCAAUGGACGAAAGUCUGACCGAGCAACGCCGCGUGAGUGAAGAAGGUUUUCGGAUCGUAAAACUCUGUUGUUAGAGAAGAACAAGGAUGAGAGUAGAAUGUUCAUCCCUUGACGGUAUCUAACCAGAAAGCCACGGCUAACUACGUGCCAGCAGCCGCGGUAAUACGUAGGUGGCAAGCGUUGUCCGGAUUUAUUGGGCGUAAAGCGAGCGCAGGCGGUUCUUUAAGUCUGAUGUGAAAGCCCCCGGCUCAACCGGGGAGGGUCAUUGGAAACUGGAGAACUUGAGUGCAGAAGAGGAGAGU
rnacentral:rRNA from 1 species